AGCAGCCGCGGUAAUUCCAGCUCCAAUAGCGUAUAUUAAAGUUGUUGCAGUUAAAAAGCUCGUAGUUGAAUUUCGGGGUUAGUAAGUUGGUCAUGCCAUUGGUAUGCACUGGCUUUACUGAUUCCUCCUUCUUGACGAACCGUGAUGUCAUUAAUUUGGUGUUGCGGGAAAUCAGGACUGUUACUUUGAAAAAAUUAGAGUGUUUAAAGCAGGCUAACGCUUGAAUACAUUAGCAUGGAAUAAUGAAAUAGGACGUUAAUCCUAUUUUGUUGGUUUCUAGGAUCGACGUAAUGAUUAAUAGGGAUAGUUGGGGGCAUUAGUAUUCAAUUGUCAGAGGUGAAAUUCUUGGAUUUAUUGAAGACUAACUACUGCGAAAGCAUUUGCCAAGGAUGUUUUCAUUAAUCAAGAACGAAAGUUAGGGGAUCGAAGACGAUCAGAUACCGUCGUAGUCUUAACCAUAAACUAUGCCGACUAGGGAUCGGAUGAUGUUAUUUUUAAUGACUCA
rnacentral:rRNA from 1 species